rnacentral:misc_RNA from 1 species
GGGACAUGCGCCAGGAUAAAGGAGGAAACUUCAUGACAGAUAUAAACCGAGCAAGAUUAUGCACUUCACGUUUAGAGUACUUUUCAUGGAUGAGACCAGACAAGUAAAAUAACUUAGCUCCAUCAUAUAUCUCAGUCCAAAAUCUAUGCUUUAACCGUUGCUUCGUCUUUCUAAGCUUCUUAACAUCCUUGAACUGGUCGAGAUGUGUAAGAACACCCAUAACUUUAGGAAAUCCAUGAUUUUGCAGUAUAUUAAGGAAUUCAAAGGUCUCCAUUUCAAAGCCAUAGCUACCGUCAAUGAGAAGC